rnacentral:rRNA from 1 species
CGUAGGGGGCGAGCGUUGUCCGGAAUUACUGGGCGUAAAGGGCGCGCAGGCGGCCGGUCAAGUACGUGGUGAAAGCGCUUGGCUCAACUGAGCGAGGACCGCGUAGACUGGACGGCUGGAGUCUCACAGAGGCGAGUGGAAUUCCCGGUGGAGUGGUGAAAUGCGUAGAGAUCGGGAGGAACACCAGUGGCGAAGGCGGCUCGCUGGGUGAGUACUGACGCUGAGGCGCGAAAGCGUGGGGAGCGAACUGAAUUAGAUACUCAGGUAGUCCACGCGGUAAACGAUGGACACUAGGUGUGGGAGGUAUCGACCCCUUCCGUGCCGGAGCUAACGCACUAAGUGUCCCGCCUGGGGAGUACGGCCGCAAGGCUA